rnacentral:lncRNA from 10 species
GCUUAAUUUCAAUUCUCUUAGAUCCAUCCCCACAUCUCUAUGUACUGAUAUGGAAAGAUUUCCAGGACAGAUCCUAAGUUAAACGAAAAAAGAGGGAAGUACAACACAGCAUGCACAAUAGGCUACCUUUGGAAAAUAAAAGGGGGCAAACAGGAACUGCCCUGGAAACACAUACCGGAUUAUCUACAGGGUGGAUGGCAAUGGAGGAAAAGCAGGAUUUCUUAGAAGAUAUUUCUUUAUAUGGAUUUGAUUCUUGAAUCAUGUGAAUGUAUUCCCAAGUAAAAAUUUUAAAUUCGAAAUGUUAGUGUCACAGAGUAUUCAACUUUCUUACAGAAAAGACAUUUAGAUCAACAGAUGACAAAAAUAGGAGACUGCAAAAUUCUUCCUUCCAUCCACCUCCAAUAAUGAAAUCAGUGUUUGUUUGCUGCUUUUUUUAGACAAAUCUCCCCGUUUUGUAAAACAAGGGAGUAUUUUUUGUUUUACAAAACUGAGAGAUUUAGGUAAGCCGUGAGUUAGUGGAAACAUCCGGAACCAUAUAAGGGAGCUUUAGCUUUUGUGUGAAGGAAAGAAAACAGUUUGUGACUUUAGCUGAAACAAAUAAUAAUUAAUAUAUUACUGUAUAUAAUUGAUUACUAUAGUAUAUUUUAUAUUGAUAUAAAAUAUAUUAGCAUAUUUAUAUAUUAAUAUAUUAUUAUAUCCAUAUAUUAAUUUAAUACAAGUAAUAUAUUAAUAUAUAUCAUAUGUUAUUAUAAUAUAAAAUUGUAUAUUAUAAUAACAUAUACUAAUAUAAUACGUUACAUAUCUUAGUAAUAUGUGACUGUAUAUAAUUUUAUGUUAAUUUAUUUUUCAAACUUCUUGUGACCAGAUUUUCUGUACCUAAGAGAAAUUUUCUGUAACUAAGAGAACUUUAGCUGCAGAAAUAUAACACUAGUGAGAAAUCUAACAAGUUUGUUUAUUUAAGGCAAGGGUUGGCAAACUAUAGCCCGUGGGCCCAAUCCAGCCAGCUGCCUACUUUUUACAGCCAGUAAGCUAAGAAUGGUUUUGACAUUUUUGAGUGGUUAUGUUUUAAAUGGUUGUAUAAAUAUCUACAUAAUGUCCUUGCUAUUGCCUCUUGGCCUCCAAGUCUGAAGAUGGGAAAACAUUGCUCUGGGUUGGGUGUUUCUAUUGUGCUAAUGCCUCAUUUGGUACCCAAAGCCCUGAAGCAACAAGACUUAGUUGUGUCUCGUUCCAGCUGCCAGAUGCAGAGAAGGCCUAGCAUGCAUAGCUCAGUAUGUCACCGGCCCAUGAAUGUGUCUCUUAAAUACAGAAAAGACGACACGUCAGCCUGUUGCAAUGGGGUUCUGUGGCUUGAAAAAGACCUCUGUAUUGUAUAUGAAUCUUAGUAAUUGGAACUUGGACUCAUCACGUCUUUUUUAGCAAUGACAUUGUAACAGCAUGCACCCAUCCAUCAUCGUGUCAUCCUUAUGAAAAUGGUCUCCACUGGUCAGCUUGUCAUAGUUAAUUAGUCUUCCAAUGUAUGGAUAGUCAGAAGCAAAGCGACUUUGAGGUUUUUUUUGACAAUUUUAAAAGUGAACUCCAGAGAUACCUGAUCUUUCCUGCCUUUUAAUUAGAGCCUUUUCAUUUGAGGAGGAGAGUGUCCUUGUGGUUAGGAGUACAACCAGCCUAGUUCUGCUUCCCAUUUUCAGUUCUGUAGGCGACUCAUAGCAACCACAGGCAAGUCGGUGACUGAGUCCUCCAAUAUGUGCAGUACAGGAAGUUCUAGAAUAAAAUGCAGUUAGCUGAUUGCUACUCAAAUGUAGAUAUUGUUGAUAUCUUAGUGAGAAAAGGGUAGUGUAUUAGAUACCGCUAUGAAAUCUCUAAACUUAGUAGUUUAAAAAAGAUGAACAACCAUUUGUUUAGCUCAAGAUUCUGUAAGUCAUCAAUUUAGUCUGGGCACAGCUUGCUCUGUCAGGCACCCACAGUCAGUGGUGUUGGUGUGUUGGGUGGAUGGGUGGUUGUGUUCAUCUUGGCUGGGCUCUCUCAUGUCUCAGGCUUUGGCUGGGACAAUGAGCUAUGCCUCUCUGCUCCGAAUAGCUUCUUUUCCCACAGCAGGCUAGCCCAGGCAGACAUAGGGGUCUCGAAAGAGAGUGAAUGUGUGUAAGAAAUCUUAAAGCCUAGGCUUGGAAUGGGCAAAAUAUGACUCCAUCAUAUUUUAAUGGUCAAAGCAGGUCACAAGGCGAGCCUGGACCCAAAGUGAAGGGAAACAGACUCUACCUCUUGAUGAAAGGGGCUUCAGGGUCAUGUUUCAAGGGCAUGGUUGCAGGAAGAAGAAGGGUUGUGGUUAUUUUGCCAUCUACCUCUGGGAGCUAAAACAUGAAGGAACACAUGCAAGGUGUGAACCGGCCCUGCUGCCAGACAAGGUGAGGGGAAGAGGCCAUGACCGUGAAGUCUAGAUGCUAAGCUGUGAGAGAGGGACUGAUCAGGGGAAUUCAGUGACCUCACGUACAGCAGGGAUAUAGAUGAUACCGCUGUUUUUCCCCGGGUCUCAUUUCUGGCAGAAGAGAGUGAGGGAGCCUCCAGGAGAGAAGUCAGACCUGCAAAGGAUGAGUAGGUGUGUGAGUAGCACCAUGGGGGGUUUUGGUUAAUUUAGUGAAGAAAGAGGGUAUUUUUCCAUAUGCAUUGGGAAACCAAGAGUGAACACAGGCUCUGAGUUCAACAGGCUAGUGGAGAGGAAAGAAAACUGCACGCAGGAAGGAAAUCCCCUGAACCAAGAGGCUGAGGUUUGAUGUUGUGAGCUCAGCCUUCCAAGGCAGACACACAUGACUUCUAGUUGUGGUGUGACACCUUAUUAACUGUGUGACUUUGGGCAAAUCACUUUACCUCUCUAAGGCUCAAUCUCCAUAUCUGUAAGAUAAGGAUAAUAAUAUAUGCCUCAGAGUACUGUAGGGGUGACUAAAGGAGAUAAUCCAUUGUAAUAUGUCUAAAUCGAUACCUGGCAGGAUAACGGCUGUCCAUGAGUGUCCAUUGUUACUAACCUUCUUACUUUUGUUGCUAUUGAUUUUUCAUGCAUGGCCCACAAUUCUAGUUUGCAGUACUGGCCACACUGAUGAGCUCUCCUAGUAUUUUAGAUGAACAGUUUCAUGUGGGUGUACCACUAUCAAUUCUAAAGUAACAUACAUUGAGAUAAAUGAAUUGUCCCUUCAUACAAUGUUCCUUUCCCAAAUGUUUGUAUCUGUUCAUUCAGCACCACCAUUUAGCCACCCAAAGAAAAGUUUCCCUGCCUCCAGGCUCUCUAUGCUUUCAUCCAUUCUGCAUCUUGUUGCAAAAUUGAUCUUCCAAAAAACAGUCCUUUGCUGAAAGCCAUCAAUGGUGCCUCACUGCUUACCAGCUGACUUCCAAACACUGAGUUUGACGUACAAAGCUCUCCACAACCUGACCCAGGCCUUGUUACUAGACUAAUCUUCCAAGACUCCGGGCAAGAUCAUUUGGCUUUAGACAUUUUUUGUAUCUCUAUUUUGUGUUCCCAAUAAGAGUGUGAGCCUGUAGAGCAGAGGUUGGCAAACCAUAGCCUGUGGACUAAUUCUGUAUGAUCCAUAAAGCUAAAAUGUUUACUAUCUGACACGUUAUGGAAAAGUUUAUUGACUCUUGCUCUUGGGGGUAGAAGCGUGUCAUAGAUGACUUUGUUUUUCCUACAGAACCAUGUACUCUUCAAUGAACAUUUAUUGACCUCUAAGCAUCCCAUUUCUCAUUCCUGUAAAUUUGUUUCCUUCAUAGAGGGCCUUCUUCUCUUCUGCCUACCUGGAUGAA